AGAAUUUUGAUGUCAAUGCUCGUACGAAAGUGAAAGAUAUCGAAUGCAGUAUUAAACAAAGAUUGGGACUCGCAAACGGAGAUGGGUAUUCGCUAUUUAUUCAAGUAUUUUCAAAAAGUUAGUACAUUAAUUUUAUAAGUUUAUGCAAUUUUGCAUCAGAAGGCCUAGCCAAGAGUUUUCAUGGCUAGAGCGGUAAGUGCGGUAGAGCCAAUCAAGAGAGAGCAUUCCAUAGACGGAUUUUCAUAUUUUUAACUUUGGUGGUGCCAGAAAUUUUAGGGGGUGAGCCGUGAGCAGGUGACUGAAGCAACACAAAGUGUCAUCAAACCCAAGUAAGGUCUAUAUUCUAGGGGUGGAGCACUGAGCCGCGAGGGGGAGUCUAGAGAGCAGAAAACAAAGUAUCCCAGGAAUAAUUUGAAAAAAAUCAUGAUUUCUAGCUUCGAAAAAAAGUUUUUUGAAGUUGUCAUAUCCAUGGAUUUGGCAUGUCCGAUUGUUUGUUGAGACUUGAGAGAGUUAAAGACUUAAAGUUAAAUGAACCUGUAAAAUUGUAAACCCAAUACACAAUAUGAUUUUAACUUUUAUAAUUAAAGUCAUUGACAUUGUGUUGUUUGAAUCCGAGUACAAUGUAUGAUGCAACUUGAACUACUAUGAGCUACCAUACUGUACUGUGCAUAAUUGAUAUACAGCAUACGGUAUUUUGCGCGUUAUCAGCUUGCGCAGGUGGCACUAGUGCACUACACUUUAUAUGAUGAUAAUUAGGUUGUUAUUGUACAAACAACAGUGUAGCAACGUCAUCAACCUGCCUAGAAAGUAGAAACGUCAUCACGCAACCAUUGCAACGAACGUGAUAAUUAUUCGCAUAAAACAGUCUCCUGAAUCCGAGGUAAAUAAUAUUUGGAGCGUAAAGAUUAAAUCUACGCAAGUCUAUUUCCUAAAAGAAUUAAAAACUAAAAAUAAUGUUCGUAAAAAUUCCAAACGUUCCUUGCGUGCAAGCUAUUCGCAUGACAAGGCACUGCAAACUCUAUAUAUUCAGGGCAGAUAAUAGAGGUUCAAAACUUUACAAUUACUCCAAUAAACCAGUGAAUGCAAGCGACGAGCAACUACUGUUGCACUGUCUUUUUCUGUUCGAGUGUACUCCUACGUUUAUUUUGUGUCAUCAACACUCUGCCCGUUGGAGUGGAAUAUUUAAGUAUUUAUUUAUUAUGCCGAAUAUUGGGGGGAGGGUUGAAAUGUUUUUGGAGGGGUGGACAUUUUGUUUAGGGGGGGUUAUAGCUAAUAUUGGGGGGGUAGCACUCCCAAUGGAGCAUUCUGUAGAUUUUAAUAACUAAUUUCUUUAAAGUCUGAAAUAUAUUUACAAUUUACACUUUUUUUUAAAACUGCAUGUUAUAUAUCAUAUUUUUAGUUAAUUUAAGAAAGCUAUCAUCCACCCCCAUUUAACUGGCAUUGAAUUUAGAAAGGCAUGCAAUUACUUACUUUUUUCUCUUGCAGUUGUCGCAUUAGGUUCCGAAGACUUUAUAUUCGAUGGAAUUCAACAAUGGACACAAAUUGUUGAAAAUAGAUUAUCUGAACCUGUAGGUCAGUUGGUAAACGAUUAUUAAACAAAAUGUGGCACAAUACUAAAGGGUUAUUGACCGAGCGUGAGGUCUGUACUGUG